rnacentral:lncRNA from 1 species
ACAGAUAGGCCUAGUGCCCUCCACAGUGGGUGUCUGUGUCUUUUCUCCUAUGUAGGUCAGUUUCCCUAAGAUGAAUCUUCCAGUCUGCUGGAGGGUGUCAGACUGGACACUGUCACUCACAGGAGCCAGAUGGACAAGGAUUGUGAGGCCCCUGCCUUUGUUACUUGACUUUCAUGUGCUUUCGGCACUAUUCUGGAAGCUAUGAAGCUUUUAGCCGCUGGGGAUUAGCUGGUGGACUGAUGUUGAGAUCAAGGUAUUCUGCCCCACUGGUGAAAAGGAACUAACAAAUCUUUCAAACCCAGACCUUCAUUUUCAUCAUGGCCUCUCUAUCCUUGGCUUCCUGGUGUCGACCUCAGUUGCUGAAGCAUGAUGAGAGACUCUGGUGUUAUCGAAUUGUCGGUUUCUAUGACACAAGAAUCUGGAAAACCUCUGGAGAUGUUCACAAGCCCCAAUAUCUGCUGAGAGUAAAACCCCGAGUCCCAGCGCGUGACCGAAUGGGCUCAGCUACAUGAAAAGCAGAGAGAGAUUUACCGAAUGUGGCCAUAUUGGGAAGAGGAACAAAUAUAGGGAUGUAGUAAUGCCAAGUCAAUUUUCAGGGGCCUGAUGUGAAGUGUGGUCUUAAAUAGGAGAAUUAGGGCAGGGGUGGAGAUCUACAAAAUUGAGCAGUCCUGGUUGGGCUGGGCUGAUUGACUGUUCCUUAGCUCUGGUUCUGCAAGAUGGUUUAAAAAGUCCUGUCAUGCAUGCCUCGGGGAUCAGUCUGUUUUCUGCAAAAUGAUUACCUCUACUGCAGAGCUCAGCCUCACCAUCAUGGAUAACUGGCUGUGUGUGUGUGUGUGUGUGUGUGUGUGUGUGUGUGUGUGUGUGUGUGUGUGUGUGCGCGCGCGCGCGCGUGGGAUGCCAGGUGACUCAGUUGAGUUGAAAAUGACUUAGCCCUGAGCCUUCAGCAGGGUAAAGGAAACAGACACAGAAAGAAGGCAGAGGCCAGGCUUCACUCCUGCUUUGGAUCUUGUAGGCACAAGUGAGGAGCCAGUGUUCUUCAGCAUAAACAGUUUCUUGGGGCCCAUUCUCCCACCUCAAU